CACGUAGUUAGCCGUGACUUUCUGGUUGGAUACCGUCACUGCGUGAACAGUUACUCUCACGCACGUUCUUCUCCAACAACAGAGCUUUACGAGCCGAAACCCUUCUUCACUCACGCGGUGUUGCUCCAUCAGGCUCGCGCCCAUUGUGGAAGAUUCCCUACUGCUGCCUCCCGUAGGAGUAUGGACCGUGUCUCAGUUCCAUUGUGGCCGAUCAGUCUCUCAACUCGGCUAUGCAUCAUCGCCUUGGUAAGCCGUUACCUUACCAACUAGCUAAUGCACCGCAGGUCCAUCCCAGAGUGAUAGCCAAAGCCAUCUUUACAAACAAAGCCAUGUGGUCUUUUGUUGUUAUGCGGUUAUUAGCAUCUGUUUCCAAAUGUUACUCCCCCGCUCCAGGGCAGGUUACCUACGUGUUACUCACCCGUCCGCCACUCACUGGUGAUCCAACGUCAAUCGAGGUGACAAGCACCAUCUAAUUAGGUGGGCCAGGUGCGUACG
rnacentral:rRNA from 1 species